AUGUGUAGAAAGCAAAAGUUCUCGGAAUGUCCUAAAAAUCCACGGAGGCACUUUUUUGGAAAAUAUAAAAAAUACUGGCGAAAGAAUCAAGACCAGGGGCCAACACCCUGUCCACGAGGGUGGGGGCGCGCCCCCUCCCCCUGGGUGUGCCCCACUGUCUCGUGGGCCCCCUGGACCUCCACCGAUCUCAACUCCAACUCCAUAUAUUCACGUUCGGGGAGAAAAAAAAUCAAAGAGAAAGUUUCAUCGCGUUUUACGAUACGAAGCCGCCACCAAGCCCUAUUCUCUCCCGGGAGGGCUGAUCUGGAGGCCGUUCGGGGCUCCGGAGAGGGGGAUUCGACGCCAUCGUCAUCAUCAACCAUCCUCCAUCACCAAUUUCAUGAUGCUCACCGCCGUGGGUGA
rnacentral:rRNA from 1 species